ACAGGGAUUGCCCUAGUAACGGCGAGUGAAGCGGCAACAGCUCAAAUUUGAAAUCUGGCGUCUUCGGCGUCCGAGUUGUAAUUUGCAGAGGGCGCUUUGGCAUUGGCAGCGGUCCAAGUUCCUUGGAACAGGACGUCACAGAGGGUGAGAAUCCCGUACGUGGUCGCUAGCCUUUACCGUGUAAAGCCCCUUUGACGAGUCGAGUUGUUUGGGAAUGCAGCUCUAAAUGGGAGGUAAAUUUCUUCUAAAGCUAAAUACUGGCCAGAGACCGAUAGCGCACAAGUAGAGUGAUCGAAAGAUGAAAAGCACUUUGGAAAGAGAGUUAAAAAGCACGUGAAAUUGUUGAAAGGGAAGCGCUUGCAGCCAGACUUGCCUGUAGUUGCUCAUCC
rnacentral:rRNA from 1 species